rnacentral:rRNA from 2 species
GGACUACCAGGGUAUCUAAUCCCGUUUGCUCCCCUGGCCUUCGUGCAUGAGCGUCAGGAACUGUCCAGAGACUUGCCUUCGCCAUUGGCGUUCCUCCUGAUAUCUACGCAUUUCACUGCUACACCAGGAAUUCCAGUCUCCUCUCCAGUCCUCGAGCAAGGCAGUAUCGAACGCAGUUUCGGGGUUAAGCCCCGAGAUUUCACGUCCGACUUGCCCCGCCGCCUGCGCACCCUUUACGCCCAAUGAAUCCGAACAACGCUUGAGACCUCUGUAUUACCGCGGCUGCUGGCAC